GUUUAGGAAAUACAAAUGCAGUUGAGUAGUAUUUAACAUAUUAGUUAAGGAAAACGAAACUGUGCGGAAAACCUAAUGACACACCGUCGUGAAAUAAAUCAUAUUAGGAGGACUUACUUCGAAAGGAAAACACGAAAACAAACAGCGAAAUGGAGGCAAUUAAGUUGACAUGCUUUUCAAUUGUAGGAUUAUUACUGUCGGAAAUAUGCCAAGGUCUCUCCAUUGAUUUAAUGGAACCAGAAGUAUCCGACUGUGUAAAUCCGUCAGUAAAAAUGGUCUGCAAAUUCACCCCUGACGAACUGCAGGCUGGUAGUAACGAGCUUACAAUAAUGCAUGGUGGGUUGACGUUGGCAACCUGUAAAUCGGACAGUCUGACGUGUACGACGGCAAGUGUGUUAUACAACGUUACAAUGGAGGCUGCACGUGCAGUGCUGACAAUAACGAACAUGGAUGCGUUUUAUUAUGGUCCUAUAUGGGGUUGCCGUGCUGGUCCCAAAGAGGCUUCACUUCAGCUAAAAUACUUUCGAGCAGCAACUGAGAGUGCUUCAGAACAGUUCCUGUCUCUUGGAGAAAUAUCUAUAGUCGACCUGUUGACACUUUUUAUAGUUAUCGCUAUAUUACUGAUACUGGUAGUAAAAAUGUUUUGCAUAAGUCGCUGUCAGAGAGGAAAGGGAAAAGAUAAGCUGAUGCCAGACAAUCCACUGAUAUCUUCAAAUGGAGUUACAGAAUAAUAACGAAAUUUUAUUUGCUUUAACAGUCUCUAACAAUAUUUGGAUAUUUGUUAUUUCAUUGGUUGUUCUGUCCAUAACGAAUAUCUGUAAGCUUAAACAGUUAUUUGAUACUGAUAAUCGACUUUGUAAAGCUUGUUUUAACCGUUCCAUCAAUUAGCUGGGCAUUCGUAUUGCAAAUUUAACAAGCAUGAUAAUUUUGGUUGUGACUGAACAUAUUUGUUCGUGAUUCUGCACUUACAUUAUCACUUUUAUUAUUUAUAUACUCUAUGCAUUGGUACCAAGUCUGUUCGUUCCCGGUCCAUACGCAAAGGCUUCGUUCGCCCGAGUUCCGUUCUAAUUUGUUUUCUAUCAAUACACAUUAUUGUUAAAUGGUUUUUGUUUUUAUUGAUUCAAGUAUCUAUUUACUUCUUGUAAAUAAAUCAUAUUUUUUUAGGAAUAAAUGAAUAUAUAUCUGAAACAAGUUGAUUAAUCUCGAGCUGAUUGGUAUUUCAUUAGAAUGAUUUUAAUUACUGUUGAUUGUAAUUUAGAAAGCUUAUUAAGUAUUCUUUUUAUAUAAGCCUUCAUAUUUAACCUAUGUGAUUUAAUAUGAAAAACAAUCAAUAAAAAUUUGGUUCUCCAA